UCUGUAUUGAUCUUCCUCAGGCGUAAGAGCAUGUACUGAGAGGUAUGAAAACUGUAGAAAAAUUGUCCUUGUCCAAGGGUUGCAAAUUGCAGUCAUUGCCUGGACAGGUCUGAACAUGCCUCAACUCGGUGUGGAAAUGAGAAGCAAAAGACAGAGGCUCCUUUUAUAGGGGUAAGACUCCGCCCCUGCAUGAAACAGCAAAACUUGCAUUGACUUAUUUUUAAAAAAGAAAAAAAGAAAAGAAAAAAGAAAAAAGAUAAAAAAAA